AUAAAUCUGCGAUAGGGAUUGAAGAGGAAAUCCUUUUUUGCGAAUUGAGGUAUCAAAAUUCACAAAAAAGAUUGUAACGAAAAGCCCGCCCGAUC
rnacentral:sRNA from 1 species